GUUCUCAUAGCUCAGUUGGUUAGAGCAACGGAUUUUUAAUCCGUGGGGCGCAAGUUCGAAUCUUGCUGGGAACACCA
rnacentral:tRNA from 1 species